GACAGAGGUGCCAAGCGUUAGGCGGAAUCACUGGGCUUAAAGCGUGUGUAGGCGGGCGCCUAAGUACCUUGUGAAAUCCCCCGGCUCAACCGGGGAACGGCUGGGUAUACUGGGUGCCUUGGGUCAUCUAGGGGCUGCCGGAACAAAUGGUGGAGCGGUGAAAUGCGUAGAUAUCAUUUGGAACGCCAACGGCGAAAGCAGGCAGCUGGGGAUGCACCGACGCUGAGACACGAAAGCCAGGGGAGCGAACGGG
rnacentral:rRNA from 1 species